AUCCAGACUCCUACGGGAGGCAGCAGUGGGGAAUAUUGCACAAUGGGGGGAACCCUGAUGCAGCGACGCCGCGUGAGUGAAGAAGUAUUUCGGCAUGUAAAGCUCUAUCAGCAGGGAAGAAAAUGACGGUACCUGACUAAGAAGCCCCGGCUAACUACGUGCCAGCAGCCGCGGUAAUACGUAGGGGGCAAGCGUUAUCCGGAUUUACUGGGUGUAAAGGGAGCGCAGACGGCUGUGCAAGUCUGGAGUGAAAGGCGGGGGGCCAACCCCCGGACUGCUCUGGAAACUGUAAAGCUGGAGUGCAGGAGAGGUAAGCGGAAUUCCUAGUGUAGCGGUGAAAUGCGUAGAUAUUAGGAGGAGCACCAGUGGCGAAGGCGGCGUACUGGACUGCAACUGACGUUGAGGCUCGAAAGCGUGGGGAGCAAACAGGAUUAGAGACCCCCGUGCAC
rnacentral:rRNA from 1 species